rnacentral:rRNA from 1 species
AUGGUUAUAAUAGGAGGAGAUGCGGAUGGCAAUGAAGAAGAUCGUUCUGGAAGUCAGUCGCUUCGCCGGAACUCAAAGCGUCCUGCUAAUCGCCAACCACGACCUGCGCGGAGUGUUGAGCAGGGAGAUGAUGCUGAGGAUGUUGAUCAGUUCCGUGUUGUAAAGCGGACUAGAUGUGCAACACUUGGAAAGGGACCUGAGUCAUCUUCGAGGGCAGCAGUUGCUGGAGGAGCUGUCGCAUCUUCCGCAGCAGAUGCUGAGGCCAGCGGUGAAGGAGUUGAGGUGGCUGCAGGGGAAGAUGUGGAGCGACCAUCACAAGCGGGCAGGAUAAGGGCAUCACCAGCGCGGUUUGCAACUUUCAACGCCUCUCUAACCCCACUACAGAAGUCAGAGCUAGUUUCGAGGUUGUUCGGGGGGCUAUUGAACUUAUCAGACACACUUCCAGCGGACCUCACUAAGUUCCUGGUGCAGUCCUACCAGCCACAGACCUCUGAAAUGGUUUUCCUAGGAAGAGGAAGGAUCCGUGUCGAUGCUAACAGUGUUCAGAGGAUCACUACAUGGCUCAAGAUGAUUCAGGAUAUGGCUGGAAGAACGGAUGACACAUUCUUUAUGGCUUGGCUUGCGGUUGCCUUCAGCACUUUUCUAGCACCAUCCACGGCCUUGAAGCUCAGCCCAAAGUGUUGCGGACUUGUGCUAGAUCAUCAAAUGCUCAAGAACACAAACAUCUGCCUCUUUGUAGCAGAACACAUUAAUGAAGCUUUCCGGAACAUGGACCAGGAGAAGCAAACUGUCUGCUGCUGCUUGUAUCACUUGAUGAUACUAUACCUUGAUGCGCUCGUACAUGACAUCCCAGUAAGCAACUGCGCGAUACGAUCGAAUGCAUGGGAUAGUACUCUAAUUGCCAAGGUGAUCAAGCAGGAUACUAUCUCUCCUGGUGUGUUCGGCAGAUUACAACUUAAAGAGGAGUAUAGAGGCACGGAGCAGACACCACUGUUUGGUGGAAUUUUGCAAGCUGAAGCAUUCGUGGCAUCCAAGUUACCAAUAACCUACAAUCCGCAGAAAAAGGCAAAGAUUGCGAAAGUGCAGCCAUCAAUGCGAACCGCGCCGUCACGCCGUGCUCCAAAAAGAAAGAGACGGGGGUCAACUAUACAAGAAGAAGAGUUUGUUGAGGAUGAGUCAGAAGAAUAUGAGGAAAUGGAAGUAGCGAUAGACGUUGAUGAUGACGAGGACACAGAUGCGGAUGAAUCAGAGGAGGAGGACAAGGAGGAGGAUGACAAUGAAGAAGAUGCAGAGGAGGAGGAGGAAGAAGAGGAGGAUGAGGAGGAGGAGGAGGAGGAGGAGGAGGACAAAGAAGAAGAGGACAAAGGAGAGGAGGAGGACAAGGAAGAAGAUAGUGAGGCAGAGGAGGAGGAAGAAGAAGGUGAGGCCAAAGAGGGGGACAGGGACAAAGGUGCAGCAGUUGAUGGCAGUGAGAGGGGAGAAGACAAAGGCGCAGCAGUUGAUGGCAGUGAGAGGGAAGAAGACGACGAUGAAGAAGACGAGGAUGGUUAUGGUGAUGAUAAAGGGGAAUCCAAUGGAGGCAGCGACAGCAGCGAUGAUGAUGAUGAUGACAACGCCCCUGGUUCUGGUGGUACAGGCGGCAACACAUCCAGGAGGACUAGCACUUCUGCCACCCCUGCCAGCAGCAGCAAUUCAUUGAGUAGCAGGAGCACACUACAGAUGUUGAUUGACAAAACUUGCUGGAAAGACAAGGAUUUGCCGAAGUCAAAGAAAAAUGAUGAAGCAGAGUCUCAGGGCAGCAUUGAUAUGUUCAAGCUCUGCAACUUGAAGCCAGCUUUGCCAACCACCUUUCCCGUGCCAGAUUUUAGCGACCAAGAUAUGUGUGAGAAGAUCAACUUUGCCAUUGGCAAGAGCCUGUUCUUAUCAAGUGAUGCUGAAAAGAAUCAAAUUGACAUGGAGGAAGCAGGAAAGGGUCUUGACUGGGUUCAUUCAAAGGAAAAAUACAAGGAAUAUUUGAAGCAGCUUCCAGACCUAAGCUCCAGCAAGAGCAAGGUAGCAUCCAUGGCAAACCCUCACGUGGUCCAGAAGCGUAAAGCAGUUUCAAUGAAGAAGAAUCUGCAGUUGCCUCAAACCAAGGAGAAGAUGGUGAGUGCAGAUGCUGAAGUAAAUAUGGUCAAGGAAGCUAUGCUUCAAACUGAUAUGCCAACUGUAGUGAGCAGAGAGCCAACCACCAUCACAGGAGUUCAACAGAUCAAGGGGAAGACUCCCCUUUCAACAGUCCCACCAAAACCACCUAAGCAACAAAAGAUUGUCAAGUUUGCCAGGGGCACAAAGGGGGAACCGGUCACAAAAGGUUUGGGGUUCAGAGACGAGAGAGAACUGCGUGCCGCAGCCAUUUAUGCAGGGGUGCCAAGUUCUACUAGGUUGUUGCCAACUCAGACUGGAAAGAUGCCAACUAUAGAUACCAGUGUGCCAACUGAUGUGUCAGUUAGCAGCAUGGUCACAGUCAAAACCACCACAGCUGCUCAGGAAGGCACCACUGCAACUGCAAGCCCCAAGGUGCCUACUCAUAGAGAUGCUUCAAUGCCAAACACAAAAGGAGGUGAUCCUACUACCAAAGUGCCGUCCCCAAGAGCUAGCACACAAUAG